CCCCCCCUCCCCUCCCCCCCACGUGACCUCCCAUUGAACUCAAUGGGGGAGGGGUGUGAGAACUCCAACUCCCAUCAUGCCCCGCGGUGAAGGACAACAUCCGGGGACUACAAAACCCAAAGCCUUUUAAUGGGGGGGGGGGGGGAAGAUUUUGGGGCAAUUUCCCCCUUUUUUGGGGCUGUUUGUAUAACUUAAAUAACUUAAAGCGAGAGGAAAGGGGGGAGGGGUCUCCCCCCCCAAAAUUAACCAAAACCCCCCAAAAACAGCCCAAAAAGCCAAAGCUGGAGGUGGGAGCUCAUAGGGACCAUUUAUUCCAACCCCCCCCCCCAAAAACAGGGAUAUUGGGGUCCCCCCCUUGGGGUAUUUGCCCCCAAUGGGGUAUUUGGGGUCCCAAUGGGGUAUUUGAUGCCCCCAAGGGGGUAUUUGAUGCCCCCAAGGGGGUAUUUGGGACCUGAAUGGGGUAUUUAAUGCCCCCAAGGGGGUAUUUGGGACCUGAAUGGGGUAUUUAAUGCCCCCAAGGGGGUAUUUGGGGUCCCAAUGGGGUAUUUAAUGCCCCCAAGGGGGUAUUUGGGGCCCCAGUGGGGUAUUUAAUGCCCCCAAGGGGGUAUUUGGGACCUGAAUGGGGUAUUAAUGCCCCCAAGGGGAUAUUUGGGGCAAUUAAAGCCUCCAGGGGGGUAUUUCAGACACCAAAGGGGGUAUUUGAUUCCCCCCCCCGGGGGUAUCCACAGCCCCACAGGGAAACUGAUGGGGGGGGGAUUUGAGGCUCUCCAUGGGGUAUUUCCCCCCCCCCAUUGCCCAUAGGGGGGUACUUAAACCCCAAAUGGGGGGGGUGUUUAAACCCCAAAGGGGGGGCACUGAAACCCCAAUGGGGGGGUACUUAAACCCCAAUGGGGGAGGGUAUUUAAAUCCCAAAGGGGGGGUAUUUAAACCCCAAUGGGGGGGCACUGAUACCCCAAUGGGGGGGUAUUUAAACCCCAGUGGGGGGGUAUUUACACCCCAAAUGGGGGUAUUUACACCCCAAAUGGGGGUACAUUUAUGGCCCCCCCCCCCUAUUUAAAGCCUCCUUAGGGCCCUUUUCUUAUCCACCUUCUUCUUGGGGGGGGGGGCAGGUUUCUUCUCCCUGUCCCCCGCGUGCUUCUUGGGCUGGGGUCCGUCGGGGGGGGGGGGGGGGGGGGGGGGGGGGUUAGGGGGCGGGGCCGAGGUGGAGGGGGCGGAGCUUGCGGAGGGGGCGGGGCCUCGGGCGUGGAUCUCGGUCAGCAGCCGGGCUCGGGCCGCGUACUCCUCAUAGUUCUCCAGCAGGAGGCGUCCGGCCUCCUCGUUCAGGGCUGACUCCGGGUUGGGGUGGAUCAGGAGGCACUUGAUGGUCUGGGGGGGGGGGGAAAGGGGGGUAAAUAACAGCAUCACAUCCCAUAAUAUACAUACCCCAUCCCAUAAUAUACAUCCUGACAGCCCAUAAUAAACAUCCCCCAUCCCAUAAUAUACAUCCCACCAUCCCAUAAUAUACCCCUUACCUUCAAUACACAUCCCCAUCCCAUAAUAUACCCCUCACCCUUAAUAUAUAUCCCCCAUCCCAUAAUAUACAUCCCACAUCCCAUAACAUACAUACCCCAUCCCAUAAUAUACAUUUCUCAUCCCAUAAUAUACAUAACCCAUCCCAUAAUAUACAUAACCCAUCCCAUAAUAUACAUCCCCCCAUCCCAUAAUAUACAUCCCCCAUCCCAUAAUAUACCCCUCACCCUUAAUAUAUAUCCCCCAUCCCAUAAUAUACAUCUUGACAUCCCAUAAUAUACACCCCCAUCCCAUAAUAUACAUCCCUCAUUCCAUAAUAUACAUCCCCAUCCCAUAAUAUACAUCCCCCAUCCCAUAAUAUACAUCCCACCAUCCCAUAAUAUACAUCCCCCCAUCCCAUAAUAUACAUCCCCCAUCCCAUAAUAGACAUCCCCCAUCCCAUAAUACACAUCCUGACAUCCCAUAAUACACCUGUUACCCUUAAUAUAUAUCCCCCAUCCCAUAAUAUACCCCUUAGCCUUAAUAUGUAUUCCCCAUCCCAUAAUAUACUGCAUACCCUUAAUAUACAUACCCCAUCCCAUGAUAUACCCCUUAUCCUUAAUAUAAGCCCACCAUCCCAUAAUACACCCCUUACCCUUAAUACACAUCCCACCAUCCCAUAAUAUACCACUUACCUUCAAUACACAUGCGCAUCCCAUAAUACACCCAUUACCCUUAACAUAAACCUGCCUUUCCAUAAUAUACUCCUUACCUUUAAUAUACAUCCCCCAUCCCAUAAUACACUCCUUACCUUCAAUAUAAGCCUGCCAUCCCAUCCCAUCCCCAUCCCAUCCCCAUUCCCAUCCCAGUACAUCCCAGUACACACCAGUA
rnacentral:lncRNA from 1 species